UACGUAGGGUGCGAGCGUUAAUCGGAAUUACUGGGCGUAAAGCGUGCGCAGGCGGUUAUUUAAGUCAGGUGUGAAAGCCCUGGGCUUAACCUAGGAAUUGCGCUUGAGACUGGAUAGCUUGGAGUGCGGCAGAGGGAGGUGGAAUUCCACGUGUAGCAGUGAAAUGCGCAGAUAUCAGGAGGAACACCAAUGGCGAAGGCAGCUCGCUGGGACGUGACUGACGCUGAGACGCGAAAGCGUGGGGAGCAAACAGG
rnacentral:rRNA from 1 species